rnacentral:rRNA from 1 species
CGAAGCACCUGGUACGAUCCCUCGGGUGACGACCUUGUGACUGAGUGGCGGACGGGUGAGUAACGCGUGGGAAACCUGCCAUGUACUGGGGGAUAACAGUUGGAAACGGCUGCUAAUACCGCAUAACACUGUUGGAUCGCAUGAUCCGAUAGCCAAAACUCCGGUGGUAUAUGAUGGUCCCGCGUCUGAUUAGGCAGUUGGCGGGUAACGGCCCACAACCGACGAUCAGUAGCCGACCUGAGAGGGUGACCGGCCACAUUGGGACUGAGACACGGCCCAGACUCCUACGGGAGGCAGCAGUGGGGAAUAUUGCACAAUGGAGGAAACUCUGAUGCAGCGACGCCCGCGUGAGCGAUGAAGUAUUUCGGUAUGUAAAGCUCUAUCAGCAGGGAAGAUAAUGACGGUACCUGACUAAGAAGCACCGGCUAAAUACGUGCCAGCAGCCGC